rnacentral:rRNA from 1 species
AGCGAACGCUAGCGGCGGGCCUAACACAUGCAAGUCGAGCGCAUACCUUCGGGUAUGAGCGGCGGACGGGUGAGUAACGCGUAGGUCAUCUACCCUUUGGUGGGGGAUAACCCAGGGAAACUUGGGCUAAUACCGCACGAGGUCUACGGAUCAAAGCCUUCGGGCGCCAGAGGAUGAGCCUGCGUCGCAUUACCUAGUUGGCGGGGUAACGGCCCACCAAGGGGGACGAUGCGUAGCUGGUCUGAGAGGAUGAUCAGCCACACUGGGACUGAGACACGGCCCAGACUCCUACGGGAGGCAGCAGUGGGGAAUAUUGCGCAAUGGGGGAAACCCUGACGCAGCCACGCCGCGUGGGUGAUGAAGGCCUUCGGUUGUAAGCCCUGUCGGGAGGGACGAAUUCUUGACGGUACCUCCAAAGAAAGCACCGGCUAACUCCGUGCCAGCAGCCGCGGUAAU